GGGCAGAUGGCCGAGUGGUUAAGGCGCUGGCUUUAGGUUGUAUGGAAGGAUUCGUUCCGCGUGGAGAAAAUCUUUCCUAUCGUAACUUAAACCGCCAGUUCGAAAGAGCGUGGGUUCGAACCCCACUCUGCUCA
rnacentral:tRNA from 1 species